rnacentral:tRNA from 1 species
UUUUUCUUUUUGCCAUAAAAGGAUUUUGAAAAUCUUUAAAGGAAUUUGACUUCCACUUAGUGA